CUCAUUUCUGUCCACUCAAACACUACAUGUUCUAUUUGCGUAGAUAAAUUCUUCACCAUAGCCACUUUAUUUUAAAAUUAUACAUGUAGCUUUUAUUUUAGUGUUGAUAUCGUUGUUUCUGCUACUAUGUUAACUGCUGUACUGUCCUCUUUAACACAGAAGCAUGCCAUUUGGUUUGAAGCUGAGUGCAGAUGAUACUCUUCUGAAGAACUGUCUUAUUAUUCAUAUGACUACUGGACCAAACAAGAGCUCGAGCAAGUAAGCUACUGUGCAAAAGUUGGCAAGGUUUUUGGUGAAGUUAUCAGGCAUAUCACCGUGAUAUUAGUGGCAGACAUUGCAACAACAACAAGCAUUACUAAAUUCACAAAAUGUUAGAUAAUUUAUCAGAUAAACU
rnacentral:lncRNA from 1 species